GCGGAAAUGUAGGCCGCGGACGGAUCUAUCCUUUUCCGGAGGACGCGGCGGAACAGGACAGACGGCCGGGCGUACUGGAUGCCUAUUUCCGCA
rnacentral:tRNA from 1 species